UCUCCAGGUCCUCCAGGGCCUGCUUGCAGAGGGGCACGGCCACCUCGUAGCGGCCCUGGGAGGCGUAUUGGAUCACCAGGUUGUGCAGGGGGAGGCUCGGAGAAGAAAAGAAACUCUACCAGCAGUCACAGAGCAAAGAGUGCAAAGCAAGUCAGGGAUCACACCUGGGCCGGGUGGCUCCAGGGCUCCGAAUUGUGCUGCCUGCUUCUCACGGAACUUGAGGUGAUGAGAGAAGCAACAGCUGGGCCACGGCCUGCUCGCUGCGCUGCAGCUUCUGCUGCGUCCCCGCCAGCUCCUCGCGCAGCCACUGGUUCUCCU